GACAGUUCGCCCGGCUGGUCUAAGGCGCCUGAUUUAGGCCCUGAUCCGAAAGGGCGUGGGUUCGAAUCCCACGAUUGUCA